rnacentral:rRNA from 1 species
AGACCCGAAACCCGGUGAUCUAGCCAUGGGCAGGUUGAAGGUUGGGUAACACUAACUGGAGGACCGAACCGACUAAUGUUGAAAAAUUAGCGGAUGACCUGUGGCUGGGGGUGAAAGGCCAAUCAAACCGGGAGAUAGCUGGUUCUCCCCGAAAGCUAUUUAGGUAGCGCCUCGUGAAUUCAUCUCCGGGGGUAGAGCACUGUUUCGGCUAGGGGGCCAUCCCGGCUUACCAACCCGAUGCAAACUGCGAAUACCGGAGAAUGUUAUCACGGGAGACACACGGCGGGUGCUAACGUCCGUCGUGAAGAGGGAAACAACCCAGACCGCCAGCUAAGGUCCCAAAGUCAUGGUUAAGUGGGAAACGAUGUGGGAAGGCCCAGACAGCCAGGAUGUUGGCUUAGAAGCAGCCAUCAUUUAAAGAAAGCGUAAUAGCUCACUGGUCGAGUCGGCCUGCGCGGAAGAUGUAACGGGGCUAAACCAUGCACCGAAGCUGCGGCAGCGAACGUAUCACUUAAAGCGAUUCAGCGGGUUACGAUUGACGGAGCGAAGCGACGUCAAAGCGUAUACAAAGUCGAGUCGGUUUAAGGAUACGUUCGUUGGGUAGGGGAGCGUUCUGUAAGCCUGCGAAGGUGGCCUGUGAGGGUUGCUGGAGGUAUCAGAAGUGCGAAUGCUGACAUAAGUAACGAUAAAGCGGGUGAAAAGCCCGCUCGCCGGAAGACCAAGGGUUCCUGUCCAACGUUAAUCGGGGCAGGGUGAGUCGACCCCUAAGGCGAGGCCGAAAGGCGUAGUCGAUGGGAAACGGGUUAAUAUUCCCGUACUUGGUGUUACUGCGAAGGGGGGACGGAGAAGGCUAUGUUGGCCGGGCGACGGUUGUCCCGGUUUAAGCGUGUAGGCUGGUUUUCCAGGCAAAUCCGGAAAAUCAAGGCUGAGGCGUGACGACGAGGCACUACGGUGCUGAAGCAACAAAUGCCCUGCUUCCAGGAAAAGCCUCUAAGCAUCAGGUAACACGAAAUCGUACCCCAAACCGACACAGGUGGUCAGGUAGAGAAUACCAAGGCGCUUGAGAGAACUCGGGUGAAGGAACUAGGCAAAAUGGUGCCGUAACUUCGGGAGAAGGCACGCUGACACGUAGGUGAAGUGAUUUACUCAUGGAGCUGAAGUCAGUCGAAGAUACCAGCUGGCUGCAACUGUUUAUUAAAAACACAGCACUGUGCAAACACGAAAGUGGACGUAUACGGUGUGACGCCUGCCCGGUGCCGGAAGGUUAAUUGAUGGGGUCAGCGCAAGCGAAGCUCCUGAUCGAAGCCCCGGUAAACGGCGGCCGUAACUAUAACGGUCCUAAGGUAGCGAAAUUCCUUGUCGGGUAAGUUCCGACCUGCACGAAUGGCGUAAUGAUGGCCAGGCUGUCUCCACCCGAGACUCAGUGAAAUUGAACUCGCUGUGAAGAUGCAGUGUACCCGCGGCAAGACGGAAAGACCCCGUGAACCUUUACUAUAGCUUGACACUGAACAUUGAGCCUUGAUGUGUAGGAUAGGUGGGAGGCUUUGAAGCGUGGACGCCAGUCUGCGUGGAGCCGACCUUGAAAUACCACCCUUUAAUGUUUGAUGUUCUAACGUGG